CCUACGGGUGGCUGCAGUGAGGAAUAUUGGUCAAUGGCCGUAAGGCUGAACCAGCCAAGUCGCGUGAAGGAAGAAGGAUCUAUGGUUUGUAAACUUCUUUUAUAGGGGAAUAAAGGUAUCCACGUGUGGAUAUUUGCAUGUACCCUAUGAAUAAGCAUCGGCUAACUCCGUGCCAGCAGCCGCGGUAAUACGGAGGAUGCGAGCGUUAUCCGGAUUUAUUGGGUUUAAAGGGUGCGUAGGUUGUUUUUUAAGUCAGCGGUGAAAGUUUGUGGCUCAACCAUAAAAUUGCAAUUGAUACUGGCAGUCUUGAGUACAGUUGAGGUAAGCGGAAUUCGUGGUGUAGCGGUGAAAUGCUUAGAUAUCACGAAGAACCCCGAUUGCGAAGGCAGCUUACUAAACUGUGACUGACAUUGAUGCUCGAAAGUGUGGGUAUCAAACAGGAUUAGAUACCCGGGUAGUC
rnacentral:rRNA from 1 species